UCUCACAUACUUCAUUCCAAUCUCUUUUUUUGCCUUUUUCAGGGAAAAAUAAUCUGUCUAACCUGAAACAGAUUGCUUUGUCUGUAUGGGAACUUCUGUAGAUUUGAUUAACACUACACUGUCAAGUCUUUGGGGUCAGGGCAGAUUGUAUUAGAAGCAUGACAAGUAGUUAAUGAAUUUGCAUUGACUAAUCCAUACAAAGCUAAAGAUUUUUCUGUCAAGAUUAAUGUCCAAAAAGAGUAGGACACACUAUUUGAUACAUUAUCUUACACUGAAUCAUACUGUUAUUGGACAUAAGAUUAAGGAACUAUGUUAUUUUGUCUUAUUGCAUAGCUAUACAACUGGGUUUAGCUAUGACACUGAUGUAUAGUCAUUGCUUUAAGAAUUCAUUUAAUCACCAGUAAUGUCCUGCUGUAACUCCUCUGUAUAUGAUGUGUGUACUGGCAAUAACAGGGUCAGUUCCCGCUCGUGCAAAAUUCCCUUUCCAACUGUCCCUGCUGUGUAGCCUUUCCAAAUGCAGCUUGGACUCAGAGAUGCUUGGUCCAAAUUGUGAUCCAUGCCUUCAGUGUCAACUAAAGUGUCCAAAGACCUGGUGAUCAAACACUUUAAGCUUUCAGAUGCUGUCUAGAUGUAAUGUGAUUAAAAGAUUUGCUGUUCUUUAAAAUUCCAAUGGUUUAACUGAAAUGUAUACUCAGUGAUUCUGUGUAAUCUCAAGAGGCAGAAUUUGGUGAAAAGAACUCAUGGAGUUCUUUUUCCAGAGAACUUAGGCAUGCUAUUCUUGUCAAAAUGGUAGGAAUAAAUAGGUGAAACUCUAGGCCUUGAAGAAGGAAAAAGGAUUAAGAAAGAUGUCUCAUCAAAAUUCCAGAACCUGUGCAAAAUAAGCAAGAGAAUAAAUGUAGCAUCCUUCCUAUAGGGGGGUGUCCAUUUAAAUACUGAAUUAGAAAUUACAGUCCACAGUAACAGUAAUGAAUGCAGGUAAAGUGCACCAGAGGAGAGAAAUAUUACAAAAUAUUCUCCUUGUGCAAUUUUUUAAGGUGAUGAUUUUUUUUUAGGAAUAAACCAUAUAGAAGAUUAUUUAAAGAAAAAGUAUUGCAAAUUCCAAGUUGACAUCUUUGGUAUAUUCAGUUGUCUGUAUUAUAUAUAGGAAGGUCUAUGUAAACAAAGCCAAAUUCCUAAACAAAUAAAUUAAAAUUAUUACUGUGUUCAAAUUAAAUAUCAAGGUAAAAUAUAUUUCUUAGCAAGGAAAGAGGUCAUUUGGCUAUUUUCUUUUUGGUUAGAUAUAGAAGAUAAUACUUUGAUCAUUCUUUAAGAAUAUGUCUUAAGGAAGAACAUGGAAGAACAUCAAUUAUAUUGAUUACAGGAUAUCUUAAUAUUUGGAAUGAAGAUGCUGGAUUUAUAGCAGCUUAAAUGGAAAAGGUAGUUCAGUAAAUGGUCCAAAAGAAUAGCAUAUUAGGAUUUACUAGGGAAAGAUUAGAAAGCAAACUGAGAAAUUAUAACACAGCUUUGCAAAUCCCAUUUAUACCUGCAACAUUAGCACUGGGUGGAGCACCAAUUUUUUCAAUUGAAAACAGGAUGAAGUAGAAAUUAGGAAAAAAAAGAAUCAUGCUCAACAUGGAUGAUGUAAGGGAUGGAACCAUUUCCAUGUGAGCUAAUAAUUAACCAAGUGGGAAUUUUCAAUCUGUAAUGAGAGAAAUUAAAAGAUGUGCAGAGAGAAGAAUGUAAAAAAAGCUUGUUGUUCCAGAUACAGAAAGAUGAGUAGUUAUCCACUGUCUAUACCAACCUUAAACUAAAAUUGCAUCAAGUAAUGGGUAAACAAAAAUUGUUUCUAUUCACAAAGAAAAUCUAAGCUGUUAAACUUCUUUGCCACAGGGCAUUGUGACUGCUUACACUAUAUAUGCUUUUUAAAAACUACUUGAUAGAAAGAAAUAAAAGUUCUCUAAAUUCUAUAGAGUCCAAAGAUGAUGCCUCUAGAUCAGGGAUUUUUUGGCAGUUGUAUGAGUGUAAUGGAAGAUGUUUAUGUUUUUUGGAGUAUUUUGUGAGAACUGGUAGUGGACAUCUAAAAAGUAGGUUCAGACAAUAUGAAAAGGUAUCUGUAAUUAUAUCUUCUUCUUCUGUCUUGUUUCCCCCUUUUAGGAAAUGUCUCCAUCUUUAUUCAGAUAUUUAAGUUGCUCUUUGGGAAAUAUUUUUUUUGUUUGAAGUCCAAGUCUAGUUCACUGCAAUAUAAAUUCAUUUCACAGGAAAUGCUUAACAUCUAAAAAGCUUCAGUGAGCUCCAUGCUGCUUAAUGGUAUCCGGAAGAAUGAUAUGAAAAUAUAAGGGCUAAAAAUUAGUUGAUGAAAAAUAUUGGCCUAUAAGAUAAGAACUAUGGAAGGUUGUAAAUUAAUAUUUAGGGCAAAUACUUCAAAAAUGGAGAGUGCUAAAUAUGAUUUACCUUGCUAGCAAAGCUGUUGGCUGUGUGGAUUACAUUCAUCAUUAUCACUUAUUAUAGCCACCUCAAGAUGAAUGGCACAGGCUGACACCGGCCAUUUGGUUCCUGAGGUGAAUAUGACCAUAGACUUCUCGUAAAUAGUGCUAAUUUCUGUCUCCAGCCUUCUUGGUUUUGAUCAGCUCUCUGGUGUAAAUACCGGUUUCCUACUUCUGUACCACUUGAUACAUCCCAGUGCUUUUAAGUAUUGUACUUAAGUGCUUUCACAGCUGCUGCAGCUUUUAUAUCUGCGUACACAUCUCUGUAACUUGGAUAAAUCAAAUGGCAACUAUGUCUCCAGAGUGAACUUGACUGCUUCCAUCACUCAAGAGUGUACUUACACUUUCUUAUAUGCAUGUACUCCGUUUCUCUGGGCUGUUCAUCCAUGUCAAAUGUUGUCUCUCUUUAUAUUGUCUAAAUUUCAGUGCAGGGGUUUUUGUUGUUUUACUCAAUUUCAUGUUUACUUCAUGAAAUCACUGUUUAUGAACCUGUUCCUUCCUCUCAGAUACUAUCGCUAUUUAGCCCCACAGACUGCCCACACAGGGGCAGAUGGCUGUGGAUAUUUUAAAUUCUUAUUUUGGCUUAUUUAAAUGGAGGGAGGCAACGCAACACUUCUCAAAACUGCAUUUGUUCUCCGGUUCCAGUCGCUGCAGCCACAUGUUAGCUGACUCAUCAGUAUGAGCCAUGACAAAACUGUAGCAAUGCAGAGUGCUAUCAGCUCGUCAGUAAAUAAAGCCUGUCCUUCAUAAGUCUUGUGGCUUUGCAGGUUGCUUUGUCGUUAGAAAAAAGCACCCUUAUUAAGAAGCUACUGUGGUGCUGAAACAGACCACAUCAGAGUAGGGGAAUCUACUGGAAGUCUUUUAGCAAUUACCUUGACAAAGAUACAGCUAUCAUUUGCCAUGGUCUCCUUUGCAAAGAAGCAUGGGCAGUUCUUACCAUGGAAACUGGGGAAUUCAUCAAUACAAAAAUACUAGAAACUAGUAUUUUUGUGUUGAUCCCUAAAAUCUUUCUUUGUUGUAUUCCCUUACUAGUUUUGUUGUGUCAGAUUUGCACCACAGAGGUUUAGGUCUGUUGUAAAAUGGAGGAAAGCACAAAGAGGUCAUAACAUGUAAGGUGUGACAAAAUGAUUCACACUGCAGUUUCUGUGUUUCAGGGUUCUCACCAUGCUGGGUGCUUGCAUUGUAACCCUCUGGGGAGCUGUGCAUCAGUGUGCAAGGACAACAUGUGCAAAGAGGCAUGCAGGAAAGGAACCUUUAAAAGGUUUCCUUGGUUUCCUUCCUUUAAAAGCAUGGGCAUUUAAAUAAUUUGAUAAUUUUCAUAACCUGCUUGGACUUGAUUCUCUAAUAUACUGUUUUUCAAGAAGCAGUUCAUUAGUGUGGGUGACUGCAUGGUAGCCCAACCUGAAAACUUUCCAGGUUUCCUAAAUUCCAAUGUCUUGCACAUGUUUAUUAUAACUUCAUAGUAACUAUGUCCAUAUACAGAAUGAUGAAAGGGUGUUUUUUUUUUCAUUUUUUGGCUAGAAUAUUGCUGAAGAAGUAAUGAAGCUUGUGUAUUAUGAAAAGACAGAACAGGGAUUAUGUGCAGUGGGGGGAUAGGAAAUUAAUUUUACAUCACCCUUCAGUCUAUCAGAAGGAAAAGGUAUCUCUGAAACUUUCUUUUCCUCAGUGGGAAAGUAAUAUGUAUGUGAAAAUCAUGGGUUUUCUUGGCUUCUGGUGUCAUCAGAGUUAUCUUUGAAGUAAAGGAACAGUCCUGCUUCCAUUAAUUCCAAAUAUUAAACAACUAUUAUACUGAGUUUCAAAAAUGCUUUGCAGUCAAGCUGUUCACCUGGAGUGAAGGGCUACCUAUUUCAGCCUGCACACAUGGAUUAUACAUCCUACUUGUAAAGUCUUUGAUCCAUGAUAAAACCAACUUUUGUUGAUCUGUUUUGCACUGUAUCUUACAAUGAAUGCUUUUUGAUAUCUGUAUUUUAUUUUGUCUGAUGUUUAAAAACAGAGUUUACUGGAUAACACUUGAAUGAAUGAACUGAAAAAUGAACAGAUAUGUUUAAAGCUUCUCAAGAGUCAGUGGUUUCAAAUGCAGUAAAAUAUUUUACAAGUUGUUACUGUGGUUUGAUUUCCAAGUCGGUGCGGAGAACCUAAGAAGACAAGGAUGUUGGAAAGAGGAGUUUCUUCUUCCAACAGGAAAAGAAAGUGGAAACUGAAUAAAGUUGUAAAGAA